rnacentral:pre_miRNA from 1 species
AGUAGAACUACUGGGUCAGAUGGUAAUUCUAUGUUUAACUUUUUGAGGGACUGCCAAACUGUUUCCAUAGUAGCUAUACCAUUUUACAUAUCCACUAGUGAU